rnacentral:rRNA from 1 species
CCGGCGACCGGCGCACGGGUGAGUAACACGUAUGCAACCUGCCCUCUUCAGGGGGACAACCUUCCGAAAGGGAGGCUAAUCCCGCGUAUAUCGGUUUCGGGCAUCCGAGAUCGAGGAAAGAUUCAUCGGAAGAGGAUGGGCAUGCGGCGCAUUAGCUAGACGGCGGGGUAACGGCCCACCGUGGCGACGAUCGGUAGCCGGCCUGAGAGGGCGGACGGCCACAUUGGGACUGAGACACGGCCCAAACUCCUACGGGAGGCAGCAG